AUUGUCAUAAGCAUAGACCUUUAGCUUGAUGCCUUCAUGAGAUAAAGGGGAAACUGGAGCUUGGAACUUGAUUUCAUCCACAGGAACGGCUGGAAAAUCAUCUUCAAUCAUUUCACCUGGAAGUCUCCCAAGAGGACAUGAGUAUCCUGUUAAGACAUCCUUUUAUGUUUUCAGUAGCUUUGCAGUUUUGUCUUUGAGUUGCUCAAGGCAAGAAGACCCGGUGCCAGCAAGACUGAAACAAAAAAGCAAAAGAGGUGAGCAUGGAAGAGAUCAUUGGGUUUGACAUUUCAACGCUUGGGCCUAUUAAUUUUUUAUGCCCUGCUACUUGUAUAUCGUUAAUAAAAAUCUGACGAAAAA